GCUAGUAUAGUUUAAUUGGUAAAACUUGGGACUUCCACUCUCAUAUUUUCGGUUCGAUUCCGAAUACUAGUA
rfam:Triticum urartu cultivar G1812 contig70287, whole genome shotgun sequence.